rnacentral:rRNA from 1 species
UACAGAGGGUGCGAGCGUUGUCCGGAAUUACUGGGCGUAAAGGGCGCGUAGGCGGCUUGGUAAGUCGGGGGGUGAAAGUCAGCGGCUCAACCGCUGGACUGCCUUCGAGACUGCCUGGCUUGAGCAUGGUAGAGGCUGGCGGAAUUCCCCGGUGUAGCGGUGGAAUGCGUAGAGAUCGGGAAGAACAUCGGUGGCGAAGGCGGCCAGCUGGGCCAUUGCUGACGCUGAUGCGCGACAGCGUGGGGGAGCAAACAGG